UACACACACGCUACAAUGGACCAACACAAUAGGUUGCUAAGCCGCGAGGUGGCGCCAAUCCAUAAAGUUAGGUCUCAGUUCAGAUUGUAGGCUGCAACCCGCCUGCAUGAAGAUGGAGUUGCUAGUAACCGCAGGUCAGCUAUACUGCGGUGAAUACGUUCCCGGGGCUU
rnacentral:rRNA from 1 species